rnacentral:tRNA from 1 species
UGGGAUAUAGCCAAAUUGGUAAGGCACUGGACUCUGAAUCCAUAAUCUGAAGGUUCGAACCCUUCUAUCCCAA